rnacentral:lncRNA from 1 species
UUUUAUUAUGUGAGAGCAUCUCCAAUGGUGCUUCAUUUUUUAUUUUUUGUUUCAUUUUUUUCUUCAUUUUUUUCUUUAUUUCUUUAUUUUUUGAAGAUACAUUUUUUAAUUACAGAUUGGUCCCUCAACUUUAACUUGUUCUUAGUUUUUACUUAAAUAAACUAUAAGAGCUAAUAUUAUCAACUUACUUUUAAAGUUUUUAUUAUUAUUUUUAUUCAAUCAAUUUAAAAUAUUAAAUAUACUAGAAACAUGUUUUUUUACUAAUAUUUAGAUGAAACACAAUUACAUAAAUUAUAUAAAAACUGAAAGACUUGAUAAACACCAAUCUAAAUUAAAAAAAAAACUUAGCACAUCAUAAACUAACACUUAAUAAUAUCGUAAAUCAUUUUUUAGAUCCACU